rnacentral:rRNA from 1 species
GACGAACGCUGGCGGCGUGCUUAACACAUGCAAGUCGAACGGAAAGGCCCUGCUUUUGUGGGGUGCUCGAGUGGCGAACGGGUGAGUAACACGUGAGUAACCUGCCCUUGACUUUGGGAUAACUUCAGGAAACUGGGGCUAAUACCGGAUAGGAGCUCCUGCUGCAUGGUGGGGGUUGGAAAGUUUCGGCGGUUGGGGAUGGACUCGCGGCUUAUCAGCUUGUUGGUGGGGUAGUGGCUUACCAAGGCUUUGACGGGUAGCCGGCCUGGGAGGGUGACCGGCCAAAUUGGGACUGGGAAAGGGCCCGAACUCCUUCGGGGGGCAGGGGUGGGGAAUUGUGGAAAAUGGGCGGAGUCGUGGUGGAGAAACGCCGGGUGGGGGAGGACGGCCUUCGGGUUGGAAACCGCUUUCGCUUGUAACGAAGCGGAGUGAACUGAAAUGGGUAAAAAAGCACCGGCAAACUCGGU